rnacentral:rRNA from 1 species
GUGGGGAAUCUUGGUCAAUGGGCGCAAGCCUGAACCAGCGACGCCGCGUGGGUGAUGAAGGCCUUCGGGUCGUAAAGCCCUGUGGGGAGGGACGAAAUGCCGCGGGUGAAUAAUCCGCGGAGCUGACUUUACCUCCUUAGCAAGCACCGGCUAACUCUGUGCCAGCAGCCGCGGUAAGACAGAGGGUGCAAACGUUGCUCGGAAUCACUGGGCGUAAAGCGCGUGUAGGUGGCUACGCAAGUCGGGUGUGAAAUCCCUGGGCUCAACCCAGGACGUGCACCCGAAACUGCGUGGCUUGAGUACCGGAGAGGGCAGUGGAAUUCCCGGUGUAGAGGUGAAAUUCGUAGAUAUCGGGAGGAACACCGGUGGCGAAGGCGGCUGCCUGGACGGUUACUGACACUGAGACGCGAAAGCGUGGGGAGCAAACAGGAUUAGAAACCCUGGUAGUCC